UCCUAAUCUGAACUACUUGUUCUCUAUAUCUAUAUCAUUUAAUGUUAAUGGAAUCAUUUAUGAAGGAGAGAGGACUCAACCAAUACCACCAGGUGCUACUCUAACUCCUACUAUUGUAUCAAGCACUUCAUCAUUCAUUAGUGUUACAGGAUCAUCAACAAUUUUUCAUCCUACAGUAGCAAGUACUGUAACUACUGUAACUACCACUGGAUUGAUUGUUGGUGUGACUGUAGUCUAUAUACCCAUCAUAGGACUGCUUGUAUUGGUAAUUGUUUUGCAUGUGAAAAGAACAAACCAAAAGAGAAAUCCAGAGAACAACAUUGCAUUGCAAAGCAUUCCAACUUAUGCUACAAUUGAUUUGAAAGCAAAAUCAUCAAACAGUCCUGAGACUCCUGAAUAUGAAGUACUACCUUUUUAAUAAUGUUCCCACUCAUCUUUUAUUAUGUACACUAUUAGUGAUGCAAAUAAACAUAUAUUUAAUGCUACCUCUUAAAUUAAUGCAUAUUGUGUUUGUGUUAUAGCUGUAGAAAUAUUUGUUAGUUGAAAAGCAAUAGUUUUAAGA